GAAAUGCGAUAAGUAGUGUGAAUUGCAGAAUUCAGUGAAUCAUCGAAUCUUUGAACGCACAUUGCGCUUCCUGGUAUUCCGGGGAGCAUGCCCGUUUCAGAAUCAUUAAAAUUUCACAAGUCUAUUGUCAGCUUUCGGGCUCAUUGGCAUGUGGAUUUGGAUGUUUUGCUUUGCGCAAUCAUUUUAAAUUGAUUGUAUGUGUGCCAUGUUGUAACAUUGGUUAUCUAAAAGUGCAACAGAUUUUUCUAUUCUCUUUUGGUAAGCGAUGUCAACAAUGUGUUGUCAAUACUUUCUUUAUAAAAAGAUGUUGAUUGUAAAGUCACAUUUUUGAUAACUUGGUCUGAAAUUGGGCAAGAAAACCCGCUGAACUUAA
rnacentral:misc_RNA from 1 species